AUGGUUAGAAUGUAUGAAGUGGAAAAAGAACUUGUCGUUUAUGUGACAACGAGUAGUAAUCAUGAGACUUCUUCAGUUAAUCAAAGGGGUCAAGAUGAAGUGGGUGACGAACCACACAGUGAAGAUGAAUCAGAGUAUUCAUUAAGUGAUGAAAGCUAUCAUAGUUAUUAUAGUAGUGAUGAUGAAGUUGAGCAACAUAACUCCCAAGAGGAAACUUAUACCAAGAAAAGUCGACCCAUCAAGUUGAACUCAUGAAAAUGUUGCCACGUUUAGACGAACAUUAAUCCAUUAUGCACUUGUAAAUGAAUUUGAAUACUUCAUUGAGAAAAGUGAACCGACAAGAGUCACAGCAAGGUGUGUUGACAUAGAAUGUAAAUGGAGAAUACAUGCCUCUGUCAAGCAAGAUGGAAUUACAUUCCAGGUUAAGAAAUUUGUAGAAGCACAUUCCUGCACUCGAAGUAACAAGGGUGGUAACAAGGUUGCAACUCAAGGAUGGAUUGCCAGUGUCAUUAAAGAUAAGCUAAAAUCUGAUGGGGACGUCUCUGCUACAGGUGUAUUCUAAAGAAAUGGAAGGGUACAUUAGUACCUAAAACUAAGAGUUAUCUUAAUCGAAUC